GGGCAGAGUGGUUCAAGAUUUCCCACAUUCCAAACGUCAUGUUCUGGUAGCUAUGCAGAUUGGUCCAAGACAGAUGAGCAAAUGGAAAAAAAUUGAAUCAUCUGAUAUUCAAGAGCUCCUUGCGAUGCAUCACCAAAUUAGAGAAGCUGCUGAAUUUUCACUUCAGCAUCCCCAAUCACAGAAAAAUGGCCCAACAUUGACCAUAUUCCAAUUUUAAAGAAAUAAUGUGCUUAUUCCAUGGUUGUUAUGGAACUGGGGAAAGAACUGAAAUGCGUUAAUGUGAAAAAAAAAGUUCAGG